UGUUACUCCAUGUAAUAAUUUAUUACCUCUGAAUUUUGUAUUAUAUAUUUUUCUGAAAUUUGAAACAGGAACAAGAUAUGGUACAAAAUUUGUGCACCAUAAUAUGGGUUUAUGUUGCGAAUGCAUACGCUGCUCCAUAUUUAGGCGAAUCCAAGUUUGUUUAUAUGAGGAACUUGCCCAUGCUUCUUACCAGUCUCGAAAAUUUUCAAGAUUUCAACAAAAUUGGGAGAAUCAAGCAAGAUGCAUGUUAUGUUCUUAAAGAAUUGAAAGGAUGUCGGCGUUUACUUUGCCAUUGUUGAUGUUGAGGAUGUUGGUGGUGUUCCGAAGGCUAUCGAGAGUAAAACGUACGUAGACCAAAAAAGCAUCGCUUCCAAGGAAAAGAUAUAUUGUUGUUACUUAACAGUGAAGCCAAAAAUAUUGUAAAAAGAAAAAAAAAGAGCAAGGUACUUGAAGAUUUCAUCUAUGGAAGCCAAUGGUGGAAGAAAUGUACAAAGAGGAAGCUGGAAAUUCCUCGUACACACCCUGGUUUCGUCUUUGUAUAGGUAAACUACAUGUGCCAUUAACCUAUUUUCUUUCAUUCUGUUUAAAAAUAUUGUUCAACAAUUUCUUUCAUGAUUUUAUCAUCACGUCAUGCCUUUUUUUCAUUUCAUUUUGAUCCUCUAAGGUAUUAUAUAAAUCCUUGAAAGACAGGUUGAAUUAUGUUUCAAGAUAAGGAUGAAUUAGAAGGCAGUUUUCAUGAAGCUUUGGUGGAGAAAGUAAAUAAGUUGAAUUUGUAAGUUAUAAGUUGAAUUUGUAAGUUAUUAAUUAUACUCGCAGAAGAUGUUGUAAUAUUCGAGUCUUCCCUGUUGGCAGCCGUCAACCAUACGGCAGUGAUGUUGUUGAUUGUGGUUUUGUAUUUCUUCUACAAGUGUGCAUUUGCUCAUUACUGUUGAAUUCCAAAUAUCAUUUCUUUUA